CACUCCCAUUGAAACAAAUGUUGUAAAUCCUCAAAUUUGUUUCCAAAAGAAGUUAUUUUAUUCCAUUAAGAUCAUAGAUGGUGUAAAUCCAAACAGUAUUUCUCCUGAUUUUGUGUUCCACGUUGCCUUCAGUCUGUUGAGAGCAGAGAAAUCAUUUCCAUAGAGAGGAGGCUUUGCAUCGUCAGCUGAUCCUCCAGUGAACUGAGAAGGUUUAUAGUCCUGUGAGUUCAACACUGCAGGACUCAGAUCUGUCAGUCAACACAGCAGAAAGCACAACCACCAUGACUCUCAUCACCAUCCUCAUCUGGACGCUGGCCUGCUGCUGUUUUACAGGAUGCAGCGGUCAGUUGACUGUGACUCAACCUCCAGUAGUGACAUCUACUCCAGGAUCCACUGUCACUCUGACCUGUAAAACCAGCCAGGCUGUUUUUAGAAAUAGUAAUGGAGAUUAUAUGUCCUGGUAUCAACAGAAAUCUGGACAGACUCCAAAACUCCUAAUAAAAUUUGCAAGCACACGUGAAUCAGGAACACCAGCUCGGUUUAGUGGCAGUGGAAGCAGGUCUGACUUCUCUUUGACCAUCAGUGGAGUUCAGACUGAAGAUGCAGCAGUUUACUACUGUCAGAGUUACCACGGUGGUACAGUGUUCACACAGUGAUUUGUAGUCGUACAAAAACCUCCCUCAGUCAGACUGCAGAGACACUGAGCUGUUACAGCAGGAACCGACUGCAGCUGCUGAAGAGGAAGAGACUCUGACACAGACCACUGAACACAGAGCUGACAGUAACCUCACCAAGCACAAACCUUAAUGCCAUCUCUACUUAUCUUUUCAAACUCAGAUUUUUACAAUUUUCAGUUAU